GUGAAUCAUCGAAUUUUUGAACGCAAAUUGCACUCUCUUCUGAGAGUAUGCCUGUUUGAGGGUCAGCCUAAAAAAAAUCGACAUUGUUGUUGUUAUUGAAUGGUGACUUUCUUUGGAGAUUGGGUUAUCUUAAACCUUUUUUUUUUUGUUGUAUUGAGUUCCUUAAAAUUUUUAUUUUUGAUU
rnacentral:misc_RNA from 1 species